CAGGUAGAAGUUUGCAGAUCCCUCUUCUAGAAGGGACAGUGUUUGAAAUGCACAUCUCCUUGGCCUUGAGAUCUCAAUGCCUGCAGGUUACCUCUGUCCAAAGCAAUGCUAUUGUUGGUGUCUACCAAAGGCCACCAGAUGAAAGUGAUUGGGGAUGGAGAGAUGUAGUGAAAGGGAGGACCUGGAUGUGAGUUAUUCUUUCUUACCUUCGUCUCCUCUUCUUUAAUCUCCAGUUGGCACUUGAAGAUGUUGAUGCGAAUGGCUGCUCUUUGAUGCUAGCACCAUGGAAUUUAGAUAUAAACAUUUGAUAAAAGCUAAAUUCCCAGUGUCCUCACAACCCUUUGAUGCCUCACCAGUAAGUGAAUGAGAUCCUUUGGUUCCAGGCAGGGAUGGUAAGUAGGGUGACUACUCCACUUUGCCUGAAGAAUUCUAUUAGAUUAGAUUUUAGGGCCAUCUCUUUUGGAAGUCCAUUGGUUAUUGUGGCUCAUUUUAAAUUCAAUAACCCAUCUCCCAGGCUGCCAAAAAGGAGGUGGGGUCUCUUGGGAUUGUUAACAGUGACCACGCAGAACCCCGGUGUGUGUGUCUUCAGGGAGAGCACAAACAUUGUCUGUGAGAAUGAUAACAGCUCUUCUUUGGUGAGGAAGAACAAUUAGGGCUGCGUCUGCACUGGGCUCUCCACAUGUAUUUCCGAGUAGUCCUUACAAAAGUGCUAUGAGGUAGGUGUUUAUAUGACUUCUGUCCUUGUCUUCCUGUAGUCUAUUACUAACACAGCAGCCAGAGUGAUCCUAUUCAAAUAUGGGUCAGCUCAUGUCACUCCUCUGCUCAGAACCCUCCAGCAGCUUCCUGUCUCUCACAAUCAAAGCCAAAGCCCUUGCUAUAACUUUCAAGUCCUGUGAUUUUUUGCCUCCCCUUUACCUCUCUGAUUUCAUCCUCACUCCCUCCAUGCAUGUUGCUCCAUAAACGACCCUGGCCCUGUGCUUUUUUCUUGAAAAUCCUGCCUCAGGGUUUUCAUACUUUUUGCCCCUCCUGCUUGGAAUUGUCACUUCCAAGAUGGUCAUGUGGGUAGCAGCCCACUUUCUUCAGGUUUUUGCUUGAAAGUCACCUUCUCACUGAGGACUUCCCUAGCAAUCCUGACUAAAAUUUCACCAAACGUCUCUAUCAUCCAACAUUUCCUAACUUGCCUUCCAAAUUUAACUUUUUAUUUUUUUGGCAUCUCUUUUGCUUACUUGCUUUGUUGAUUGAAAUGUAAGCCCCACAAAGGCAAGGAUUUUUCUCUGUUUUCUAACCAUGCACCCUACAAUCUCAUAUCCAGCAACUAGGCAACUAGAACAGUACCUGGACCACAGGAAAUACACAGUAAGUAUUUACUGAAAGCUGAAUAAUUUUAGUCUUUCUUUAAAAAAAAUUUUUUUUACAUUUAUUUAUUUUUGAGAGACAGAGCAUG